rnacentral:lncRNA from 1 species
UUUGAAAGAAUCCGUUUUAACCUCCUCAAAGGCUGGAUUUCUCCUCAGCCAGCAGGCUUCCUCUUCCACCACCAAUCCACAAAGUAAACUCUUUCUUUUUUUUUUUUUUUUUUUUUUUUUAUAAUAUGGAUCUUGCUUGUUUCUUUUUUUUUUUUUUUAUAAGUGGAUGGUAUUGAGGGGCCCGGAUUCAAGAUAGACAGAUGAAGAAGUGUUUAGAAGAAAAUGGAAGAUGAGAAGAUGGAUCGAGAUAGAGAAUACCAGAAGAGUGGCUCUGAUACCACUUGAAGGACCCUAAGAUCGGAUUGCCCUCGACUGGAUUCGUUUGGAUAUGAACUCCGGAAAGGAGAACUGAUGGAACGUUGGGUCGCACAAGGGUUGCGGAUGUUCCCUUGAUAUUCCCGACUUCAAUGGCGCUUGAUAUGACUCACAAGUCCGCCAAGGAAGAUCUCGAACUGGUUGCUUGAUAUGACUCACAAGACCAACUAGUUGAGAAGUGAAUUGCUCGGAUAUGACUCACCAAGACAAUCGAAAACAAGUUCUAAAGAGAACAGAGAGUUUAAACUCAGAAACUUAAUCCAAAAUGAUCUGAUUUUAUUCAUGGAAUGAAACACUUAUUUAUAGUACAAGUAGGAGACAAAGGGGCUACUUGACUAGAAGUUUGAAAGACAAAUAAAAUUAAAGACAUUUGACUAGAAUUUUGAAAGACAAAGAAGAAAGACUCUUCAAUUUGCGGACUGGUCAAAGUGACCCUUCGGCUGGUUGAACCGCGGCCAAGAGCAGGACGGUCGCGGGCCGGUCCGUCUGUUCCGUCU